rnacentral:rRNA from 1 species
UACGUAGGUGGCAAGCGUUGUCCGGAUUUAUUGGGUUUAAAGGGUGCGUAGGCGGCCUUAUAAGUCAGUGCUGAAAUAUCCCGGCUUAACCGGGAGGGUGGCAUUGAUACUGUAGGGCUUGAGUGUAGUCGAGGUAGGCGGAAUUGACGGUGUAGCGGUGAAAUGCGUAGAUAUCGAGAGGAACACCUGCGGCGAAGGCGGGUUGCUGGGCUGACACUGACGCUGAUGCGCGAAAGCCAGGGGAGCGAACGGG